GGAUAUGUGCCUGAAUCCAAGGACUACUUUGAUAGAGUAGAUAAUAGAGGUUAAAGUCCUCUCAUACCCU
rnacentral:tRNA from 1 species